CUGGAGGGAGUCCCCAGGAGACCUUGGCUCUACUGGUUAUUAGCUGUGUGACCUUGAGCAAAUUACUUUAUAUCUUAGAGCUUCAGUUACUAAGUAGUCAAAACAAAAUGAGAAUAGUGGUGGUAUUUUAGGGUUUUUAUGAGGAUUAAACAAGAAGCAUAUGUAAAUACUUGGUCCAGUACUGAGCUAAGUCCUUAGUGAGUGGUAGCUAUUGUCAAUAAUAAUACAAGCUGUGUAGCAAGCAGGUGGCAGGGCAGCUGUGAGCAGUGGCCAUGGGGAGCAGGGAAAGAUUGUAGAUUUGCAGUGUGAUCUUCCCCUACCAUCUUCAAAGCUUCCCUACAAAAUGGGAACAUCAGCACUAUCUCUCUGUCUCUCUCUCUCUCUCUCUCUGAUCAUUAGGACCAUUCUGCAUUAGAAACUUCAUGGGAAACAGAGAGACUGCUUGACUUUCCAAUAAUCUCACACCUGUUUUCCUUUGGUUCUCCCUUCCCCACUCUCUGCCACACCUCUGGUUAUGAUAAAAUGGGCCUUUUACUCCAUUCCCCGAACCUUCUAGGAAGGGACCAACUGAGAAGCAGAGAGGGGUAAGGCCAGAUGUCCCUGGAGUGAGUGGCUGAAGGCAUGUCUACACCCAGGUGGAAGGAGUGGCAAAGGGACUGGCUCAACCUGGAGGGGGACUCCCAGGACCCCAUGGCCGGGACCGAGGUUUACCCUAGACUUGCUGUGUGACCUUAGGCAAGUCGCACGCCACUGUGGACCUCAGUUUUCUUGUAUGUGAAGUGAAAGCUUGGUUUAGAUGACCCAAAGUCCUUCUGGCUUUGUUGAUCCACGACCCUGCUGGCUCUGCUUUUGCCGAGGCUGGGUGGGGGUGGAGGGGGUGGGAGGUUUGUUGGAGUCAUUCAGGCUUUGGGUGUUCACUGCCCUGUGAUUCCAGUCCUGUAAGUCAGCUUGGGGAGAGGCGAUGACCUCCCCUUCUCAGUAAGAGCGCUGAUGGUUAAGAGCAAAGUCUUUGCAGAUAGAUACAUCUAGGUUCCCAUCUUGGCUCGCUCCUUAAUAUCUGUGUGAAUUCAGGCAAAUUACCAACCUCUCUGAGCCUCAAUUGUCUCAUCUGUGAAAAGGGAAUAUUGCCAACCUGGAAUAGGAAGUCCAUAGUGUGAUACUGACUAAUGCACAAGGAAUGGGUUUUUGAGGUUCUGUGUUAUCACAGAGAGGGCUCAAGUUAGAGGAAGAGCAGGGAUACAGUUCACAGUCCUGCAGUUGUCACCAUGCACACAAUCCCCCAAAAUGCCCCAAUGUCCUGUGUCGUCCUCCUGCUGUGCACUGGCCGC
rnacentral:lncRNA from 10 species